CUUCAGGAAUCAGAAAGGACAUUCUGGACUUCAGCCAACAGGACUCCUGAGCUGAAGUGAAGACGACACCCGAGGAGAAACCUUCUGUCCCAGCUUCUUUCCAGCAUGAAAAGGUUUCCUGCUUGGCUCUUAUGCUCACACAAAGAGAGUCUUUCUCAGGACCUGGUUUGCUCCUGGUUCGGUGACCCUACAAAAAAUGUCCUCCCUAGUGGCCUUCCUCAGCCUCUGCCCUUGGCCUGGAAGUCCCAGUGUUGACUGCAGUACCUGAUCUUCAUUCUUUCCCAGUCCCCUUUGUAUUCAACCCUUAACUGCCCCCUGUGCAUCUGAAUUCAUCUUUUGUGCACAUUACUUUAUUAAAUUUUUCUCGAAUAAAUAUGGAGUGAAAAUCA